GUGUACCCCCCUGGAGAGAGGUCGCUCACCGAGGCGAUCCACCGAAGGAGCAAACGCUGCAUCGCCCGCGUGAAUCUCUCAGGUAAAGCGGACAGUGGGGCAGCG
rnacentral:ncRNA from 2 species